rnacentral:rRNA from 1 species
AUGAACGCUGGCGGCGUGCCUAAUACAUGCCAGUCGAGCGAACGGACGAGAAGCUUGCUUCUCUGAUGUUAGCGGCGGACGGGUGAGUAACACGUGGAUAACCUACCUAUAAGACUGGGAUAACUUCGGGAAACCGGAGCUAAUACCGGAUGAUAUUUUGAACCGCAUGGUUCAAAAGUGAAAGACGGUCUUGCUGUCACUUAUGGAUGGAUCCGCGCUGCAUUAGCUAGUUGGUAAGGUAACGGCUUACCAAGGCAACGAUGCAUAGCCGACCUGAGAGGGUGAUCGGCCACACUGGAACUGAGACACGGUCCUGACUCCUACGGGAGGCAGCAGUAGGGAAUCUUCCGCAAUGGGCGAAAGCCUGACGGAGCAACGCCGCGUGAGUGAUGAAGGUCUUCGGAUCGUAAAACUCUGUUAUUAGGGAAGAACAUAUGUGUAAGUAACUGUGCACAUCUUGACGGUACCUAAUCAGAAAGCCACGGCUAACUACGUG